AUUGAACGCUGGCGGCAGGCCUAACACAUGCAAGUCGAGCGGAGCGGCGGACGGGUGAGUAAUGCCUAGGAAUCUACCUGGUCGUGGGGGAUACCUUCCGGAAACGGGCGCUUAUACCGCAUACUAUCAGAUCAGCCUAGGUCGGAUUAGCUAGUUGGUGGGGUAAAGGCCUACCAAGGCGAAGAUCCGUAACGGGGCUGAGAGGAUGAUCAGUCACACUGGAACUGAGACACGGUCCAGACUCCAACGGGAGGCAGCAGUGGGGAAUAUUGGGCAAUGGGCGAAAGCCUGAUCCAGCAAUGCCGCGUGUGUGAAGAAGGUCUUCGGAUUGUAAAGCACUUUAAGUUGGGAGGCGUUACCAACAGAAUAAGCACCGGCUAACUACGUGCCAGCAGCCGCGGUAAUAC
rnacentral:rRNA from 1 species